UGUCAUGGUGGCUGUGCGCGGGAGACCUUCGGGUCUGCCGGGUUCCUACUUGCCCGGUUCGCCAACCUGCGCACAGUCGCCUCCAAU
rnacentral:antisense_RNA from 1 species